AUCUUGCUUGAGAUUCCUGGCUACCUGAGGCCUCCUGAAGGUUUCCUCUGGCACAAAACAUGUCCCACAUCACCAAUAUUAAUUCAGCUCCUUUGCCAUCAGUUUCAGAUACCUUCAAGAUCUGCUCAAAUGUACAAUGAGAAUUAUUGAGCUUCAAAUUUAAUUAAUUCUUGUGAAGACAUAGUAACUCUUCUGCUUUCAGAUAUCGUCUGCCGCUGUUAUACCGUUCUUACUCACACUAUUACUGUUCUUUUGGCUUUUCUUGGUAUGCAAAUAUAAUUGAUCCUAGUGGAAUAUCUAUGUGCUCUUAGAGCUUGAAUUUUAAUCUGCUUAAAUUAAUCUGACUAAAGCCAACUAUACUGUAGUCAUGCACUAUGCAACUAGUAGAUGACAGAUUAUGACUGCACCUUCAAGAGCAGUGAGGGGAUGAUGUUCAGGUGGAGGCAGUAUUUGUACAGCAGGGCCUAAAUAGAGUUUGUCCAUGGCUUCGGAGCAUAGGCAGAAAGGUUCACUUGCCAGUGCUGUUGUAAUCUUUUAAUGUAAACAUAACUUCAAUGAAAACAAAAAAUUUCCAAGGCUGCUCCAAAAGUAGUGCCUCCUAUUUAUUUAUGUGAAAACAGCAGCAGGUAUGUAGAGUACAACAACACUAUUUGAUAGAGAAAAUUCUCAGCUACAAAUCACUAUUAUUCAACAUAGUCACCAUCAUUGUCUCUGCACUUUUACCAGUACAGAGACAAGAUGAACAAGAGCCUGUAUGCUCUGCUUGUAAAAAUCUGAACCAGAGCUUGUGAACCACUGUCACUGUUGUCACUGCUGAAAAACACCACCCAUCACCUCCCUUUGCAAGCAUUAAUGAAAGUAAGUGGGGUGCAAUUGUAUUCCGCAUGGAGGAAUUCAAUUCCACACCUCUGUUUUAUCUGCACUUCCAUGUCAGAUCCCAUUCUGUCAGAUUGCCCCUCUGCUGCCAUCUGUCACAUGGCAAAAAAUGGAAUGGAAUAUUGGCAGGAAGGUUCAACUGCUAUGCUAUACUGCCAAUAUCUGGCUCUGACAUUUUGCGCUAGCAUAAUAAAGCUGGUGGCAUUACUGUUGGAAGCCCUUGGAAAUCUUCACAGAGCUCCCCUUUCUGAUGGUUUCCAUGUCUGUGUUACUGUAAUGUAAUCAAGAUCAACUGAUUUCACUUACCCACAUUAAAAUGGCUGAAUAACUGGAGGUAAACAAGAUAUGAAGAAAAAAAUGGAGCAGUAGAGAAAAUGUUUGAUAUUUUCCCUUAGAAGAAAGCUCGGAAGAAGAAGCAAGAGCUUUUGGGGUAGAGAGUUUGUCUCCACUGCCUUCUGGGCUUGCCCAGGAACACUGAAUGAGGGCUGCCAUACUUGUCUCUGUUACAACAGCAUUUGUCAUCAACAACUGUAUCAUACUGUAGCUAUGACAUAAGAAGCAGUUUUGAAGCUUUCUGAUGGCAGGCACCAUCCUGGAUCUUCUGGGGAAGAUCAGAGCCAAUGCUUGUGAGAACAAUUAGACCUACAUAUUUUACAGACAAAAACAUCCUUUAUUGCCUCUUUUUGCUGGCACUAGGUGUUGUUCAGGAAAAAAAAGGAUUUUGAUUUUGGGUUGAGAUGUCCAAGAAGAUGGUAUGCAUCUGACUCUGGCAACAACUUUGUAUGCAUUUGAGUAUUUACAUUGUUAGCCAUCUCCACCUCCAGUAGAUAUGUGAUUCAGAAUAGUAUCUGCAGCAUUCAGUAAUUCAAAUGCAAAUAGAAAGCUGCUGCAUCUUGAAAUAAUGCUGGCUCAGAGGUAGUUUGCAAUGUCAUUAUACAGUUUGCUUAAAAUAAUUUAGUAAAAUAAUAUCUCAUGGUUGCAUACAAUUACUUUUGAUUGCUUUCUUAAAUGUGUUCAUAAAAUUUUAUAGUGCCCUUUGUACAACGCCUACCAUUUUCCUGACCGGUUAAUGAAUGAUUCUGAGUUACAGCACCUCCAUCUUGUGGUAAACCUGAGAAAUAAAUCUUUCUUAAUGCUAUCUGCCAAGAAGUCCCUCUUAAAAAAAAAUAUGGUAAUAAAGAUUUGUCCAGGUUUUAACUUGGCUCCACGUGCUCCAGGGACUUUACAUUAGUGUGAUUUCUCUCUGCCUCCAUUUUGCAUCUGUCUGCUGGGACAGCCUUAGGCCAAGCUGAAACCCUCAUCUUU
rnacentral:lncRNA from 1 species